CCAUCUAUAAUAAGAACCAUAAUUUUCUUAAAGGUAAAACUGGUUAUUGACUAUUCCUUCUUCGGCGUUGUUGCUCAGUGCCCCAGAGAACAGUUAUUUUGGUCACCAUUGUUUUUCUGGAUCCUUGAGGGCUAAGAGCCAUAUUUACAGGACAUGGAGAAAAACUGGCUUGGAAACUAUCCAAAAAGUGUUUUUCAGACUGAGGUUUCUCUUAAAAAGGUUAUUCUCUUUCUGACAGAAGUUUUCCAGUUCUUUUGAUCUGCAGCCUGGAUUUCCCACGGGAGCUGCAAUGUAUGCAAUUGGCACUGACACCCUCCAGUCAGCAAUCCAACCAGAAAUGCAGAUAGAACACGGAGCAAUCCAAAUCCAAUAAGAAAGUGGUGAAAAGCUGCGUGAGCUGAGAUGUCAGCGAGCCACGGUGGGAAAUGGAGCCCUGCAGUCGUCGUGCAGCCCCAGGAAGAUGGACUCACAGGCUGACAGUCAUUCCUGUGCACACAGCAGGUUUCUGACCAUCCGUUUGUGCUCACCCAGAACGAACCAGAGCCAUUUGCUGCAAUUGGAGCUGCAUUGCUGCGUCUGUUGAGAAUUUACCCCUCAGAAAACAAACAAACAAACAAACACGUGGCCUGCCCUUAGGUAUAUUUAAGGAGGAAAAAGUCGUUUUGGAAAGAAAUCCAAUUAAUCGAAACAGUGAGACUUAAAUUCAUGUUUCAUCCUGUCGUUUCUUCUGUGAAAUACACCAUUUGAAUGUCUGCAAAAUGUCUUGGGAGGUGUAUUGCUGCUUUGCAAUACUUGCUUUACCACGUAUCGAAGAUCAAGAGCUCAAAUAUUUUUCACCGUUCAGACAGCUUUUUUAUUUGCAAUGGUGUUUAUAACAAAAAUGGAAAAUAUUAAAAAAAGAAAAAAAAAAAGAAAAACCCCAUAACUGCAAGUAUUAGCCUUUUUGCUGGUGUUUUCUGUUCAGUGUAAUGAAAAAUGUUUAUUUGCAGAAGACUAACAAUUUUGUUUGUACUGUUGCUUAACUACUUUUCUAGGGGAAAAUGCUUUUAAAUGCUGUAAUUAUGCAUUUCUAAUGAAAAAUAAAUGUGUAUUUAUGAAUA